CAGUAUGAUGCGAAGUAUUUAUACCCAUCUCGUGUUGAUCUGAACCAUCCAUCGCGAUCGAUCUCGUAUGUCCGAUUGCGCCUAAGGAGGAAACAAAUCUAGACCGUUCAUCGCGAUUAAUCUCGGUCGUUCGAUCGCGCCUAAGGAGAAAAUGAAUCUGCGUCUUCCACACGCGCGAGGUUGAUCUUAAACCGUCGAUCAUGGGGCACGCAGAUUGCCCGCGUGGCACCGACAUCAGCGUGUUUUGCCACACGGCGUGAUCUGGUUCGUCGAGACUGCUGACUGGGCGGUUCUACGUAGUUGAACUUUCUCUUUUCAUACUUUGACCUCUUAUUUUUAAUUUUUCUUU
rnacentral:lncRNA from 1 species